UACAGAGGUCUCAAGCGUUGUUCGGAUUCAUUGGGCGUAAAGGGUGCGUAGGCGGCGCGGUAAGUCGGGUGUGAAAUCUCGGAGCUUAACUCCGAAACUGCAUUCGAUACUGCCGUGCUUGAGGACUGGAGAGGAGACUGGAAUUUACGGUGUAGUGGUGAAAUGCGUAGAUAUCGUAAGGAAGACCAGUGGCGAAGGCGGGUCUCUGGACAGUUCCUGACGCUGAGGCACGAAGGCCAGGGGAGCAAACGGG
rnacentral:rRNA from 1 species